UGCAUUUUUGAGGUAAAUAUCUUACGGUUUAGCUGAAAAUUUUCAAAGGUAUGGAAUAGGCAGUGGCAUGGCAUCUGCAUCUGUAGUUCCUCUCUGGAAUAGGCAUUUUUUAGUGCUUGCUAUCUAAAUUUAUAGAAACUUAUGUUCUUGACAGAGAAGACAAUGGUUCUCUUGCCUUGCAGUAAUCUAGAUGGGAUGGCG
rnacentral:misc_RNA from 1 species